rnacentral:rRNA from 1 species
UACGUAGGGGGCAAGCGUUGUUCGGAUUCAUUGGGCGUAAAGGGCAUGUAGGCUGUUAUGUAAGUGUGGAUUUAAAGGCGGAGGCUUAACCUCUAGUUUGGUCUGCAAACUGCGUAGCUUGAGUGUAGAAGGGGAAACUGGAAUUCCGCGUGUAGGGGUGAAAUCUGUAGAUAUGCGGAAGAAUACCUGUGGCGAAGGCGAGUUUCUGGUCUAUAACUGACGCUGAAAUGCGAAAGUGUGGGUAG